rnacentral:rRNA from 3 species
GGGUUGUGAGGUUAAGCGACUAAGCGUACACGGUGGAUGCCCUGGCAGUCAGAGGCGAUGAAGGACGUGCUAAUCUGCGAAAAGCGUCGGUAAGGUGAUAUGAACCGUUAUAGCCGGCGAUGUCCGAAUGGGGAAACCCAGUGCAAUUCGUUGCACUAUCGUUAACUGAAUACAUAGGUUAACGAGGCGAACCGGGGGAACUGAAACAUCUAAGUACCCCGAGGAAAAGAAAUCAACCGAGAUUCCCCCAGUAGCGGCGAGCGAACGGGGAGCAGCCCAGAGUCUGAAUCAGCUUGUGUGUUAGUGGAACGGUCUGGAAAGUCCGACGGUACAGGGUGAUAGUCCCGUACACCAAAAUGCACAGGCUGUGAACUCGAAGAGUAGGGCGGGACACGUGGUAUCCUGUCUGAAUAUGGGGGGACCAUCCUCCAAGGCUAAAUACUCCUGACUGACCGAUAGUGAACCAGUACCGUGAGGGAAAGGCGAAAAGAACCCCGGCGAGGGGAGUGAAAAAGAACCUGAAACCGUGUACGUACAAGCAGUGGGAGCACCUUCGGGUGUGACUGCGUACCUUUUGUAUAAUGGGUCAGCGACUUAUAUUCUGUAGCAAGGUUAACCGUAUAGGGGAGCCGCAGGGAAACCGAGUCUUAACUGGGCGUUAAGUUGCAGGGUAUAGACCCGAAACCCGGUGAUCUAGCCAUGGGCAGGUUGAAGGUUGGGUAACACUAACUGGAGGACCGAACCGACUAAUGUUGAAAAAUUAGCGGAUGACUUGUGGCUGGGGGUGAAAGGCCAAUCAAACCGGGAGAUAGCUGGUUCUCCCCGAAAGCUAUUUAGGUAGCGCCUCGUGAAUUCAUCUUCGGGGGUAGAGCACUGUUUCGGCUAGGGGGUCAUCCCGACUUACCAACCCGAUGCAAACUACGAAUACCGAAGAAUGUUAUCACGGGAGACACACGGCGGGUGCUAACGUCCGUCGUGAAGAGGGAAACAACCCAGACCGCCAGCUAAGGUCCCAAAGUCAUGGUUAAGUGGGAAACGAUGUGGGAAGGCACAGACAGCCAGGAUGUUGGCUUAGAAGCAGCCAUCAUUUAAAGAAAGCGUAAUAGCUCACUGGUCGAGUCGGCCUGCGCGGAAGAUGUAACGGGGCUAAACCAUGCACCGAAGCUGCGGCAGCGACACUAUGUGUUGUUGGGUAGGGGAGCGUUCUGUAAGCCUGCGAAGGUGACCUGUGAGGGUUGCUGGAGGUAUCAGAAGUGCGAAUGCUGACAUAAGUAACGAUAAAGCGGGUGAAAAGCCCGCUCGCCGGAAGACCAAGGGUUCCUGUCCAACGUUAAUCGGGGCAGGGUGAGUCGACCCCUAAGGCGAGGCCGAAAGGCGUAGUCGAUGGGAAACAGGUUAAUAUUCCUGUACUUGGUGUUACUGCGAAGGGGGGACGGAGAAGGCUAUGUUAGCCGGGCGACGGUUGUCCCGGUUUAAGCAUGUAGGCUGGUUAUCCAGGCAAAUCCGGAUAAUCAAGGCUGAGGUGUGAUGACGAGGCACUACGGUGCUGAAGUAACAAAUGCCCUGCUUCCAGGAAAAGCCUCUAAGCAUCAGGUAACAUCAAAUCGUACCCCAAACCGACACAGGUGGUCAGGUAGAGAAUACCAAGGCGCUUGAGAGAACUCGGGUGAAGGAACUAGGCAAAAUGGUGCCGUAACUUCGGGAGAAGGCACGCUGGUGUGUAGGUGAAGUCCCUGCGGAUGGAGCUGAGACCAGUCGAAGAUACCAGCUGGCUGCAACUGUUUAUUAAAAACACAGCACUGUGCAAACACGAAAGUGGACGUAUACGGUGUGACGCCUGCCCGGUGCCGGAAGGUUAAUUGAUGGGGUUAUCCGUAAGGAGAAGCUCUUGAUCGAAGCCCCGGUAAACGGCGGCCGUAACUAUAACGGUCCUAAGGUAGCGAAAUUCCUUGUCGGGUAAGUUCCGACCUGCACGAAUGGCGUAAUGAUGGCCAGGCUGUCUCCACCCGAGACUCAGUGAAAUUGAACUCGCUGUGAAGAUGCAGUGUACCCGCGGCAAGACGGAAAGACCCCGUGAACCUUUACUAUAGCUUGACACUGAACAUUGAGCCUUGAUGUGUAGGAUAGGUGGGAGGCUUUGAAGCGUGGACGCCAGUCUGCGUGGAGCCAACCUUGAAAUACCACCCUUUAAUGUUUGAUGUUCUAACGUUGGCCCCUGACCGGGGUUGCGGACAGUGUCUGGUGGGUAGUUUGACUGGGGCGGUCUCCUCCCAAAGCGUAACGGAGGAGCACGAAGGUUAGCUAAUCCUGGUCGGACAUCAGGAGGUUAGUGCAAUGGCAUAAGCUAGCUUGACUGCGAGCGUGACGGCGCGAGCAGGUGCGAAAGCAGGUCAUAGUGAUCCGGUGGUUCUGAAUGGAAGGGCCAUCGCUCAACGGAUAAAAGGUACUCCGGGGAUAACAGGCUGAUACCGCCCAAGAGUUCAUAUCGACGGCGGUGUUUGGCACCUCGAUGUCGGCUCAUCACAUCCUGGGGCUGAAGUAGGUCCCAAGGGUAUGGCUGUUCGCCAUUUAAAGUGGUACGCGAGCUGGGUUUAGAACGUCGUGAGACAGUUCGGUCCCUAUCUGCCGUGGGCGCUGGAGAAUUGAGGGGGGCUGCUCCUAGUACGAGAGGACCGGAGUGGACGCAUCACUGGUGUUCGGGUUGUCAUGCCAAUGGCACUGCCCGGUAGCUAAAUGCGGAAGAGAUAAGUGCUGAAAGCAUCUAAGCACGAAACUUGCCCCGAGAUGAGUUCUCCCUGAGACUUUAAGUCUCCUGAAGGAACGUUAAAGACGAUGACGUUGAUAGGCCGGGUGUGUAAGCGCAGCGAUGCGUUGAGCUAACCGGUACUAAUGAACCGUGAGGCUUAACCUUACAACGCCGAAG